rnacentral:rRNA from 1 species
AUUGAACGCUGGCGGCAGGCCUAACACAUGCAAGUCGAGCGAGCGGCGGACGGGUGCGUAAUGUCUGGGCAUCUGCCUGAUAGAGGGGGAUAACUCCUGGAAACGGUUGCUCAUACCGCAUACCAUCAGAUGUGCCCAGAUGGGAUUAGCUAGUAGGUGGGGUAACGGCUCACCUAGGCGACCAUCCCUAGCUGGUCUGGUAGGAUGAUCAGCAACACGGGAACGGAGACACGGUCCAGACUCUUACGGGAGGCAGGAGUGGGGAAUAGUUCACAAUGGGCGAAAGCGUGGGGCAGCCAAGCCGGGUGUGUGAAGAAGGGCGUCUGGUUGUAAAGCACGUUCAGUUGGGCGGCGUUACCCGAAGAAGAAGCACCGGCUAACGCCGUGCCAGCCGCCGCGGUAAUAC